GCCGCUGUAGCUCAGUGGUAGAGCGCACCCUUGGUAAGGGUGAGGUCGUGGGUUCAACUCCCAUCAGCGGCU
rnacentral:tRNA from 1 species